GAUGAACGCUGGCGGCGUGCCUAAUACAUGCAAGUCGAGCGAACAGACGAGGAGCUUGCUCCUCUGACGUUAGCGGCGGACGGGUGAGUAACACGUGGAUAACCUACCUAUAAGACUGGGAUAACUUCGGGAAACCGGAGCUAAUACCGGAUAAUAUAUUGAACCGCAUGGUUCAAUAGUGAAAGACGGUUUUGCUGUCACUUAUAGAUGGAUCCGCGCCGCAUUAGCUAGUUGGUAAGGUAACGGCUUACCAAGGCAACGAUGCGUAGCCGACCUGAUAGGGGGAACGGCCAACGAGGAAAGGAAAAACGGCCCAAAACCCGAAGGGAGGAAAAGAGAGGGAAUUUGCCAGAAGGGGGGAAAGCUGAACGGAGAAACGCGCGGGAAGUAAAGAAGGAUGUGGGAUGGUAAACUCGUUUUAGGAGGAAAAAAAAAAUGGGGAAGUAAAUAGACAAGGUAGGAGGGUAACAAAUAAAAAAACCAGGGAUAACUAGGU
rnacentral:rRNA from 1 species